UUCCUUCGGGGUCGGGUGCAAUUCCCAACCGACGGUGAUGGCAUGCGUUAUUUGAUGGGGCUUCUUAAGCCUGAUGAGAUGCAUGCACGAGUCCGUGACCUGUAUAUCACUUGAUUUCUAAUCAUGAGAUAUAUGGCUGAGCCGGUGAGAUUCCGGGACCGACAGUAUAGUCUGGAUGGGAGAAGGA
rnacentral:ncRNA from 1 species